UAAUUCAGCCAGUGCAUUCUUGCAUGAGCUUUUCUGAAAUACAAAAAACAAAGCAAAAUACAUUAACUUAGUUUCCUAAAAUUGGGCGCAGCAUUAAAAUUGGUGUAUCAAUCCAGUAAUGUUUUCUCAGAUUCAUACCUUUCCACAAUUAAGAUAAUUAAAAAGCUGUUUACAUAAGAACUUCCCUAGUUGGAGUAUUGCCUUAAUCGGGUUCAACUCUGAUUUUAGUGUGCAUGUAUAGCCGAGAUCUGCGUUUUUCUGCGCUUAAAUGGUGAUUAAUGGCAGGUGAGCGGAUGAGAGGCUACUCUGUUGCGAGUGCGUUUUUUUUCCACAAGAGAGAGCCAAAUCUAUUGACUUGUACCCUGCAAUAAUUCAGCCAGUGCAUUCCUGCAUCAGCUUUUCCUAGUCGUUUAAUACAGAUGCUCCGACUUAAACUUACAUUUUUCCCAUAGGGAUUUAAUUUUUUGCCGAAAAUAAGGUCUGUGGUUAACGUAAGUCUAGGAGAGGUCCACGUUUUGUUCUACGAGAUAAAUUACAACCGUUAUUAUCACCACCGUGGAUUUCUAAGCUGUUACGUGCUUUCAAUAAGUAACUUGCUAUAUUUGUAUUUUUGAAAGCAUGGGAUUUGUAGUCAAUAAGUAGUUGUGACUGCUAAAUCGGAUCUGACGUUGGACUUCGAAAGGCCAUGUGCUGCACAACAACAGUGCUCGACCGAAAGGAAGCUGUAGUUUACGGGGUGUGCAUCAGUGGAAUUGGUGCAGGGAGCUACAGGUGAAGGGUUUGCUUCCCUCUGCUGGA